rnacentral:rRNA from 1 species
GAUGAACGCUGGCGGCGUGCCUAAUACAUGCAAGUCGAGCGAACAGACGAGGAGCUUGCUCCUCUGACGUUAGCGGCGGACGGGUGAGUAACACGUGGAUAACCUACCUAUAAGACUGCGAUAACUUCGGGAAACCGGAGCUAAUACCGGAUAAUAUAUUGAACCGCAUGGUUCAAUAGUGAAAGACGGUUUUGCUGUCACUUAUAGAUGGAUCCGCGCCGCAUUAGCUAGUUGGUAAGGUAACGGCUUACCAAGGCGACGAUGCGUAGCCGACCUGAGGGGGUGAUCGGCCACACUGGAACUGAGACACGGUCCAGACUCCUACGGGAGGCAGCAGUAGGGAAUCUUCCGCAAUGGGCGAAAGCCUGACGGAGCAACGCCGCGUGAGUGAUGAAGGUCUUCGGAUCGUAAAACUCUGUUAUUAGGGAAGAACAAAUGUGUAAGUAACUAUGCACGUCUUGACGGUACCUAAUCAGAAAGCCACGGCUAACUACGUG